rnacentral:rRNA from 1 species
CAGUCGUACCGACGAGAAUUCAACUCUUCGAGUGCUAACUUGUGGACGUGCGUGAGCUUUAAAACCUCGCUGUUUGCAACGUUUGUAUUUUUUGGGUGUACUUUUUCGUAUGGUAGGCCAAUGUCAGUUUUGAUCACCAUAAAAUGAUCGGAAGAAUGUAGCUUCGAUCUCGUAUAGAAGUGUUAUAGCCUUUGGUAGAUGUGACGAUCGGGAUUGAGGAUUGCAACGGAUACCCUUCGGGGCUACCUGUCUGAUCUCUGAUUGUUGCUCUGGUGCUGAAAGCUUGCUUAUGGUUAUCAAAGUCGAUGGUCAAUAGGUUAGAAUGGGUUAAAUUCGUUAAGGAUGUUGACGUAAUGG